UACAGAGGUCUCAAGCGUUGUUCGGAUUCAUUGGGCGUAAAGAGCGUGUAGGCGGCCAUGUAGGUCCGGUGUGAAAACUCGAGGCUUAACCUCGAGAUGUCAUCGGAAACCAUUUGGCUAGAGUCCGGAAGAGGAGAGUGGAAUUCCUGGUGUAGCGGUGAAAUGCGCAGAUAUCAGGAAGAACACCAAUGGCGAAAGCAGCUCUCUGGGACGGUACUGACGCUGAGACGCGAAAGCGUGGGGAGCGAACAGG
rnacentral:rRNA from 1 species